rnacentral:rRNA from 1 species
CGUGCCUAAUACAUGCAAGUCGAGCGAAUGACGAGAAGCUUGCUUCUCUGAUUUAGCGGCGGAGGGGUGAGUAACACGUGGGCAACCUGCCCUACCCAUCGGGAUAACUCANGGAAACCUGGGCUAAUACCGGAUAAUCCUUCCAAUCACAUGUUUUGAAGUUGAAAGGCGCUUCGGCGUCACUGUAGGAUGGGCCCGCGGUGCAUUANCUAGUUGGUGGGGUAACGGCCUACCAAGGAAACGAUGCAUAUCCGACCUGAGAGGGUGAUCGGCCACAUUGGGACUGANACACGGCCCACACUCCUACGGGAGGCAGCAGUAGGGAAUCUUCCACAAUGGACGAAAGUCUGAUGGAGCAACGCCGCGUGAGUGAUGAANGUUUUCGGAUCGUAAAACUCUGUUGUAAGGGAAGAACAAGUACGUUAGGAAAUGAACGUACCUUGACGGUACCUUAUUANAAAGCCACGGCUAACUACGUGCCANCA